ACCGCCUCAGUGAAACAAGCUGGCAGCACUAUGGGAUGCCAAGUCUGCUCCUGCGAUCGCCCACCUCCUAACACCACGCCAAGGGUUGCCCACCACUCUAGAAAGAUAGGUUCAAACUCUCCCUGAGGAAGACCCCAAUCUGACCCUGGACUAAAGAGAGAAAGAAGGGCCUGAGGGACAACCUUUCUUAUCAUGAACUGAAACCCACAAUCCAGUUCUUCUUUUUUUUUUUUUAAACUAAAUUGCUAAUUUAAUAGGAUUUACAGAAUGUGGGCUUUUCUGAUUCUCUUGCUUUCCAUAUUCUUAGUCAACAGUCUUCUAUACAGUAGAACAGCCAUCAUUUGGACCUAUUUGGCUUCCUUAAGAUACAUUUUUAGGAAGAUUUUGGGAAGUUUGGAUGUUUAAUUUGCUCCUCAAACACAAUUUUCAAACUAGGAAGUGAGUGUUCUAUGACUUCAAAUGAGAACUCGCUCAACAGAUUUUUUUAAAAACGCUUUUGAGUCAUUCAAAAGCUGUUUCUACCUCCUUCUUUGCAGGUCUCAGAAUUCCUGGGAGGCCUUUUGUUUUCCUAAUGAGAAAUGGUGGAGCAGUGGAUGUGCUGACACUGUCUCUCCUCUUGCUGUGCCUUCCAUGCAGAUGCCUGAAGCCUUGGAGGAGCUGAAUGGUAGAGUUUCCUGUGUCUUCCAGUGGAGAAGAAAACACCAUCCAGAAUCCUUGCUCAAUCACAGAUGAGUGCUUGACACAAGUGUCAUGUUGUCUGUCAUCUGACCCAUGGGGGCUUCCUCCUCCCUUCACCUUCUUUCCCUGAUGUCGGAAGUCCUGGGGUGCUAAACCCUGCCUGUGCGUCUUCUGCCAAGCUGUUGACUGUUGGCAUCUUUAUUCACCACCAGCCCAGAUCUUUAUUUUUCUUUGCACGUGCUUUCAAUUCCCAUGAUCCUUCUGUAUCCUGCUUACUGAGGCCUUUAGUGCCCCAUUUUCCCCAAUAUGUCCCACAAUCCAGUUCUUUAAAGUCCUUUGGAAAUUUCCUGGCAAAACCAGGUAGUAUAAAGCCAGGCACAGGUAAUAUCACCUAUAAGUGAACAGUAUUUAUCAGCAUCUUAAAGCCUGAAUUUCAGUAGCCCAUUACUGCUGGGACAGGAUGUAGGAAUAAGGCAACCAAAUACUUUUCCUCCAGGCUAGCAGUUUCCCACCUGUAAGCACGAGCCUUCAGGAGAGAGAUGGCUCACAUUGCUCUCCUGUGAGUCUGGGUCUUGGACCAGGCAGGCUAUGGUGGGGCGGUGGGGGGCUUGGAGUUGCCACCUAGGGGCCAUUUGAAUGACAAGACUGGCUCUUAUGGAGUGACCACCAAAAGAACUACUUAUUGGGGGGAAGCUAGAGAUCCACCGGUGUGUUAGGCCCUUGCCUCUAACCCUCACACCACCUGCAUCCUGAGGACCGAGGGAGCCUGUGACCUCUGCCCUCUGUUCUUGCCCAGGUUCUUGGAGUGGGGACAAGUUUAACGAUGACUUUAGCACCCCUCCAGCUAGGCAGGUUAGGAGAUUCCAAUCUCUCUCACAGCCAAGGAAACCAAGUGGGGAGGGAUCUUUCUCUGCAGCUACAUAAUCCUGGAUUACAGUGAUAACCCCUUCAUCUCAGGUAAACGGAUCAAGGAAAAGGACUGGAGACAGACCUGACAAGCUCUGGGCUGCAGGCAGGGAAGGGAAAGUAGGCAGCAUGCAAAAGGGGUCGCUUUGACAGUCAAGGACAGACAUUACUACUGCUGCCCUGAGAAGUGUGGAGGAAGAGUGGGUCUGAACUGGCUGUAGAUCGAGGGUUUGUGAAGGCACACCCUUCUUCAGUCCAUAGGCCACCCACAGAAUGAAACCUAAAGAAGGGGUUUGCAGUGUGCUCCAGGAAUCCUCACCCCUGGACUAUCCCUGCCCACAAGUGUCAUCUGGUGAGUGCCCUCAGGGGUAAGUCUCAGUUUCUUCAAAGGCUAACAAGGGCUCAGCUGUUAGAAAUAGUCCCUCCAAAGACAGUAAAUUCCACAAAUGUUAGCCCGCAUUACUGUUGUGUCUAUUAUUAGUCCUAGUGUUACUCCCACCCCUUCGCUCUGGGUCGGGGAUCCCUGCACAUGAACUAAGGUCAUCUGCCAGUGAGGCUACACUGCGGCUGGCAAGGAGAAGCCAUGGAUAGAAGUGAAGUCGGGGGGAGCUUGAGAGGGCUUACUGGGUUUGCUCCAGACCUGCAAAAGCCUUUGAUGGGCUCUGUGGAAAAGGUGACUCCCACAGCACAGGGGGCAGGAAGAUGCUGGCAGGGAGCAGAGGAAAGCCAAUGCCCUUCUCUACACAGAGGAGGAAGAAAGGGCUCCUAAGAAAAGGCCAUUGGCAGGUCAGAACUUAACACCAGUAAUGUAUCCUUCCAGAGAGGGCAGACCAGCUUUGUGCCACGUUCCCAAAGAAUGAAGAUACAUUCCUCACUGAGGCCCAGGACACGACCAGUUGUAUUCCUGUACUACCCCCAAGGAGUUCCACACCCAAGCCCAGUAGCUUCACAAUAACCCUAUGGACUAGAAGGUAACUAUGACGUCUCCAUUUCUCCUGUUAAAAGAGGUAGAAGCCUGCGCAGGGGAAGAGGCCUCCAGGACACUGAGCAGAUGGGGAACUGAAGCAUAGAGAAAUUACAUCACAUAGAUGCCACAGGGGGAGCCAAGUUUGUAACCAGAACCUUGCCAUUCCAAGCCAGGACUCUUCAAGGACAGUGAGCCUUUAACUGCACGCCCUGGUUCUCAGAUAUUUGUUGACUUCCUCUGCUGUCUCAGGGACUCGAAGCACCACAAACUGUGAGCCUGAGGAAUUUCCACCAGCACUGAAGCGGGAGGGCACAGGCUAUACACUUCUGUUGGAGCUUCAGCCAUGAGUGUGUGGGGAUCCUGUGAGACCAGCUGAAGCAAAAGAGAAAGGCCCAGGAUGGGUUAGUUCUGCCUGUGGAUGACGCAAGCUACCAUGAGAAGGUAUUGCUAUGUUUCCCAGCUGACCUCAAACUCACAGUCCUCCUGCUUCAGCAUCUGGAGUACUUGGAAUUACAACCAUGCUUCACCACAUCUCACUUUUGUCUGGGGUGUUACAUCGUCAUCAAAAACCACAACUGAUGCACAGAAGAAAAAGAUAUCCCAGAAGAAAUGGAAGAAACAAAUACUCCUGAAUGGGAAUAAAUUCAGCAUAAAAUAAAUGCAGAUAAAGUAAAAAAAAACCAAACAAACAAAUGAACAAAAACAAAAACAAAAAACACCAAAAAAUGCAACCGAUACUAUUUUAGUUUCUAAAAUCUCAAGAAUUGUUUUUAUGAACCAUGGGUGCCAAGUUUGAGUCCACUAGGACUGUCCAAAGCCUCAGGCUCAUGACCAAGGACUUAGGGUGAUGAACACUCAGGACCCCUAAAGGUCGACCUGGACGGUGGUUCUGAGUUCACUGUCUCACAUCACUUUAAAGAUGCAGACACUCAUGGGGGAUGAAGUAGAAGUAAGCUUUGUCAAGAAGAAUUAUAGAAAAGUUAAAAGCCGAGGAAAGGGAGAUAAACGUAGAGGGGGAUUAACAAGAGAGGAAAGCCUUAAACUUCUUUGCCUUGUGUUUCUAUAGGGCUAGUGCAGAACCUGGACAAGGCUGAGGCCAUUGCUAUGCGAUUGGUUCGUGGGCUCUUGUGAGCUGAGUCUAUGGCGGAUCCUCGCUCUAUGUCUGUUUGCCAUGGCUCUGACAGGUGGAUGCUGUUUGUGCUCCGCUUGUCCGCCUAAGGCUGUCUGACUUGUGCUGUGCUAGCUGCUGACCGUGACUGUAUGCUAGUGCGAGCCCUGGGCUGACCUUGCAGGUGUCUGCCUGUUAAGUACAUUCUGCUUUCCUUGUUCUCCCGUGCUCACGAUGAGCUUGGAGCUGCACCACGACCUACCGAGAGUUUCUUCUACCACAGUCGCCAACAUGUCUCUGCGAUCUUUUUCCGUUACCCCAGCUUUAGCGCCUGGUCUCUGGAGGCCUCCGACGGAGUGUUUUACAACUUGGUCUGUUACAACUGAUCGCAUUAGAAGCAAGAAUAUAUGAAAGCAGGCUCGGUGACUAAGAAUGCUUGUUGCUCUUGCAGAGGACCCAGCACCCACAUGGCAGCUCACAAUCAUCUGUAAUCCAGUUCCGGAGGACCCAGCAUCCUGUGUGGGUGCCUGGCACACACAUGGUACGCAUGCAGCAUAGGCAAAACACGUAAAAUGCAAAUACAUUUUAAAACGAGAGAAUAUAUGAAAGGAUAACAGUGCCGUGAGGGCUCCAGGGUGGAGGGAAGUUGGCUCACCUUCGCUGCCCAGAGCUCUUUUCUUCCCCUCACAUGCAUAGCUUUGUUGUCUCAUACCCGGUGUCGAGCCCUCUUACCCACCUUCCUUUGCGCUCACCUUGCUGUUUUAAGCCCGGCCUCUGCUUGCACUGCAACCUAUGUGAGCAGUCUGCAGUUUUCACUACAGGCCCUUUCUCUUGCUAUGUACGGAGAGCUGGAUCCUGCGUUGCUCUCUCCUGAUCUAGUGUAGAGGAUGUUCCACGAGCCAAUGCUAUGUUCCGCGCACUGACAUAUAGCCCGCGGCUGUUGGACCGGAUGUCCUGCAGGUGUCUGUAAGGUCCAUUUGGCCUGGGGACCAAUUGUACCCUGGAGUUUGUUGCCUUUGUGCUUGUCUGACUGGCCCAUUGAUGAAAGUGGGUUGCUCACCUGCUUUGUAUGGGAGUCUCUCUCUUCCCUUACGUCUACUGAUACACGCCUCAUAUCUGAUUGCUUUCUUCAUCCCCUAGAGUGGUGAAGUAAUUUACUCUAGUAGUGUGUUCUGAUUUAUUGUGAUAUUUGGGUUGUCUCCUAUGGCUUUUUGCUUUCUGGUUACUAUGAGGCUGACAAGGACCUAUGUGGGUAGCAAUACAAUUUUUUAAAAUAAAAGUUUAACAUUACCAUAAA
rnacentral:sRNA from 1 species